GACAAUAACAACGACAGGUGAAACUGAUCAGGGUGUGACACAGAGGUUGUUCAAGUCGCAUUGAGAAUGGAAUCUAAUUCCGCUUACCAUGCGGUGUGUGUAGUCGCGGUUAUCCAUAACUCAAGCACCGGUGACUGUGACCUCCUCCUCAGACCAAUUGGCAGUACGCCCAGAGCAUUGCUCUGUGAACCAAAAGGAGUAUCUCAAGGUCCCAGCUUUGAGAGAAGAAACCACGUAAGAUUUUCUGGAAAACAGUGCUGUAGCUCUGCCACUUUCCACCGCAGAUGGGAAGGGCGACAUAGGCGGAUGCAGUGGAUUGAGUUGCAGCCCUUGCAAAAAAACAUCUCUAGCUUAAACUGACAGAUUGAUAAUUUUUUGAUUAUGUAUACAUUAUGUAUACAUACAUUAUGUAUACAUACAGAGGAAAUCAAUGUUUUUCAGAGCAGGACAUGGAAAUGCAAAGAACUCUGAAAGAUAUGCGAACACAAAAACUCUG
rnacentral:lncRNA from 1 species